CGAGUGCGAUUAUUUUUCUUCUUUCUCUGGUGGCUGUUGGUCGCUGUCUUCCUCAUGAUUGGUGUCUUCUGUCGUCUGUUACUUCAUAGACUUGUAAGAAUAUAUUAUUCAAGAUGACUGUAGAAGUCGUCCAUGGAGCGUCUGUUAGGACGUUGUCCGCGGUCGAUGGGGAACCUUCUAUAAGGAGAAGUGUGUGUAGCUGAUCUGUAUGACGGUGGUGUCAUGUGAGUGUAGUUGAGGAUCAUCCCUCCAUCGUCAGGAGGUGACGGCUGAUCAUCAAGUGUUAGAUGAAGAGUUACAAUGAAUCAGGUACCUACAAUGAAAUGUCAGGGUGUGAUUACACUAGAUGCAAUGUAUUAAAGACAAUGAGGUACAAGUGAUAUGGAGAGGGAAGUGACUGUGAUCUGAACAUAUUGCUAUGUAAGAGACUCGAAGUAUCAAGUGUAGUGUUCAAGGUGAAGUGUUGCAGCGGCUCAAAGAGGAAAUUUCUUUUAUACAGGCCUUUUCCUGCGGGACUUGCUUAUGUCAAGAAUUAUUGUUUCAGUAGCUUUAAUGAGUUCACUAUCGAAGGCGGUUAGCUGUUAAGAUGUUAGCCUCACACAAAUAACUGCCCUGUUGUGACAUGUUAUCAUAGGUAUUGUUUUAUAAUGUGUAAGGCGCUGUCACAGUAUUUAUAAUGUAUUUAAAUGUAAUGCUUCGACUUGACUAUAGCUGUGAGCUUAGAGACUUUGUCAGCGUCACUAGAUCUUUGACAUCGCCAGAGGGCGCUGUGGCUUUUAGUGGUUCAAACUUUUAACACGAUAAAUAGUAAAUGGUUCCCAAGUCAUUUAAGAUUUUCGUCUUUGUCAUUUAAUACUAAGGUUCUCAUAUAAUUAUGUGACUUAUUACUUAAAUCGUGAUCCCGUCGGUUCGGUUCCUUGCGUCAACAGAGGAGAUGAUAGUGUCUGUCAGUCUUGGUAUUUGCCAUACCACCGUCGACGAUUUCUUAAUUUUCUUGCUUACUGCUCUCGCUGCACGCAGAAUGCGCUAUUUCUUGAGGUCGUUCGGUUUGUUCACAGACAUGGGAUUUAUAUUCCUAGAUCCCAGGUUUUGGAUAAUUGCCAGUCAGCUUUUCUAAUGAAAUUAGGCUGUUUUUUUUAAAUUUCGAUUGUCUUGCGGUUUAAUCUCGGUAUGUACCUUUCUUCUCUAGCGAGGGUCUGGUUUGUCAAACCGGAUGUAGUUGCUUGGGUUCACACACCGCUGGCUGUGACGAGUGCGGUGAUUGUGUGCAUCUGUGUAGUGGGAGGUCCCUAGCCCUACUACUAGUAUUACUAUCUGACGACGCGGUGAUUCUAUUUCUAAUCGUAACGUCAUUGUCCGGAUCGGUGAGA